GUACUAAGGUAGCAUAAUAAUUUGUCUUUUAAUUAAUGACUAGAACAAAAGAUUUUUCAUUUUAAAUUAUUUCUUUAAUAUAAAUUUUAAAUUUAUUUUAAAUGUAAAAAAACAUUUAUUUCAAAAGAAAGACAACAAGACCCUAUUGAACUUAACUUAAGUUUUACUGGGGAAGUAAAUUAAUUAUUAUUUUAAAAUAUAUCAUAAUUUAAUAAUCUUUAAUAUAAAAUUCUCAAGUUACCAUAGGGAUAACAGCAUAAUUAUUUUCAAUAGAUCUUAUUCAAAAAAUAGAUUAUGACCUCGAUGUUGAAUUAAUAUUCUAUUUAAAGCAACAAUUAAUAUUAGAAAGUCUGUUCGACUUUUAAAAAAUUACAUGAUUUGAGUUCAGACCGGUACAAGCCAGGUCGGAUUAUAUCUUCUAAAAACUAUUAUAUAGUACGAAAGGACCUAUAAUUAUAAUUAUAUUAAUAUAUUGGCAGACAAUUGCAUUAGAAUUAGAAUCUAAUUAUGUUUAA
rnacentral:rRNA from 1 species